GUCUGGGUAGCGCAGUUGGUUAGCGCGUCAGUCUCAUAUGACAAGUAUGAAAGCUUCAAAAGCUUGUAAUCUGAAGGCCGCGAGUUCGAGUCUCGCUCCGGACA